AUGCCCAUAUCUUAUGAGAUGGAGGGUGGGCCUACUGUACUGCAGUUAUAUAAAUGGAAAAGCUUGCAUCCCUGUCUUGAACUAUCGAAAUUCCGGGAAGCGUUCAUUUCUCCUACAAGGCGCCUGUUUGGACUGCUCUCGGAACAUGGCGAUCUUGUUCUGUCAACUGUCAAUGUCCAACCAUCACAAGUUGAAUCACCUAUGGCUCUCUCAUAUAGUAGCUUGCCAGUGUUUGAGCGUUUUUCUUCUAUUCCCAGAGUGAAGUCUUUAGCAUGGGGGCACUGCUGUGAUGCUUCUAGUCAACUUGAGGUUCCGGCUUUCAGUGAAUUUCUUGUUUUGUCUAGUGAUGAUUCUAUCACAGUUCAUGCGUUUUGUCAUUCUGAGAAAAGUGCAGUAACAGUCAAUUGUGAUACUGAAGAGCUGCAUGGGGAGUGGAAAGAAUGGUUUCCUACCAAGUGCUCAGCGUCUGAGGAUGGCGAGUCGGGUGCAAGGAACUGCUUUCGCUCUUUUCUGACUACAAUCAGUGCAUCUGUUUGCAACGGAAAAUACCAAGCCAGAUUUCCUCUGAAGUCUUCAUUACCUCAUUCUGCAGAGGUGGUAUCAUUUAGCAUAUAUGAUAUUACUAUGUCCUUUCUGAAAUUCUGGUUAAGCAGUUGUGCUAUGAAGACUAGGAUGGAAACUGACAGUGGAUCUCCUGAAGAUGUUCCAAGUCAUGUACCUGUAGCUGAAGAAUCAUGCAGUUGCCAGUGGGAAUGUUUAAAAGUUUUGCCUAGCUCUUCCGGUUAUUUGACUGGUUUAGUCUUAACUCCUAAUGAAUCAGUAAAUUGCGAGGUCCAUCAACGCAACGCCAAAGAUAUUUUGGUGGCUAUCCUUGAGCUAAACCAUUGGGGUAUACAGUGGAACUUUGUGGUAGACCUUCAGACUGCAUAUGAUGAUGUGGGGCCUAAUCCACAGUGGGUCGAUUUCCAACUGUCAGAUAUAUUUCUUGCCUCCCUUAAUGCAGUGGGUUUUGUCGCCAUUUGGAAUGCAAAAACUGGUCACCCUAUCAGCUCGUUUAGUGUUCUUGAUCGGUGCAGAAUAGAUCUGGAGAUGCCUUUGCCCACUGUAACAAAUGUAGGAGAAAACACCUGUGUUGGGAAUGUCGUUGGCAGAAUGUUCAAGAUGUUAGUUUUGGCACCACAUUCUCCACUUGUUGCUGCUGUAGAUGAGGUUGGGGUAGUCUAUGUGUUCUAUGCUGACGAUAUCUUAAAUUUCAAAGCCAAUGCACAUGAAAAGUUUGACCAGCCUUCUAUAAAUCAUUAUGGCGAUAAUUUUGCUGCCUGGGAAACUGCUGGUCAUGAGAUCGGGAGUCAAACAUUUUGCAGUCAUCAGCCAAUUAGACAAGGGUCACUUAAUCGAGACGAAAUGGUAUAUGAUUUUUCAGAUAGAGACAAUGCUGGUGUCGUCAGAGCUAGGAAAAGAAGAAAAUACUGUAAAUGUAAUGAAAAUCAAGUGGAUAGCUGGCCAAGUGGUUUCAGUACUACAUCACAAAUGAAAGAUGUGGUAACUUAUCCUUCCACAAUGGCAGCUUCUGCUCAUGUGCGAAGAGUAGUCCUUCCUUCAUGCAGAUUACAGGAGAAUGUAAUAAGCCUCUCACCAUUUGGACUGACAAGGAUCUUUAGAAGUUGCAAUGCAGAGGGAAAUAAACAUGUCAAAAUUAUUCACACAAAGUUGCUUAUGGCUUCAUGUUCACUUGACGAGAGAGAUAUUGAUGCUGGUUUUCUGGGCAGGAGCCUCCCAUAUCAGAAGGAAUUUUCUUUUGCUGGCGAAUCUGCUGUUUGCUCCUUUCAGGGAUAUUUGUAUUUGAUUUCGCAGGAUAACCUUUCUGUGGUCCUUCCAUCAGUGUCUGUAUCGUCUUUUUCAUCUCGUAUCGAUGCCACUCAAUUUUGGCAACCAGGUUUUAAUGGUGGUAGUGCAUGCAAUGCUCUGAAUUUGUUGUCAGUAAAUAGACUCCGAACAAGAUUGGAGGCCUGGCAAAUAGAGGUUUUGGAUAAAGCAUUGUUGUAUGAAGGACCUUCAUUAGCAGACAGGCUCUGCUGGGAGAAUGGAUGGGACAUGAAAAUCUCCAGGCUGCGCUGGGUGCAAUUGUCAUUGCAUUACACAAAUAUCAGUGAUCUGGAGCAAUCGUUGAAUAUGCUCGCGGAGGUUGAUCUUGCAGAAGAAGGUGUUUUGCAACUGCUAUUGGCAUCUGUUUAUCGGCUAUUAUGUAGCACAAGAAGUGAUCAUGAGGCUGCAGUGUCAUCUAAGUUAAUGGUUUUAGCAGUCCGCUUUGCAACGAGAACAAUCAAGGCUUAUGGGCUUCUUAAGCAAAAGAAAGACAUGCCAGACAAUUCAGUAAAGCUUCAUGAAAUGGCUUUCCUUUUGGGAGUAAUUAGAAGUAUCCAGGGCCGAAUCACCGCAAAGAACCAGAAUUCAAUCCGGAUGCAAGGAGAUGAUAAAAACUCACUGAAAAUAGGCAAAGAAGUACUACAAAAUGAUUCUCCAUCCCCAGUUGUGGUAGUGGAUGGUUUAGAUGCUCCUGACAGACAAGGAUCAACAUCUACUGCAUUUGAGUUUGUUCCUGGUAGUAACAGGCUGUUAGCAUUAGCGCCAGUUGAAUCCUCCCUUACUGCUUCUCAUGACAAUGACACUGAUCAAAGAACCACUCAAGUUGGAAGACCGGUUACUCAAGGAAAUAUCAAGGAUAUGAUGAACCGUUGGGAAAUGAAUAAGUUUGACUUGAAAACAAUAGUCGGUGAAGCACUACAAUCUGGUCGACUACCGUUGGCAGUUCUUCAGCUGCAACUGUUGCGCCAGAGGGAAUCAUGUUCUGGUGAUGAUUUUGAUGACGUUUUCUCCGAAGUUCAUGAAAUAGGAAGAUCCAUUGUUUAUGAUCUGUUAAUGAAGGGUGAAAGUGGACUGGCUGUAGCGACACUAGAAAGACUAGGAGAUGACAUAGAGUCAGACCUUAGACAACUUAUGCAAGGUACUGUCAGAAGGUCACUUAGGCUACAAAUAGCCGAGGAGAUGAAACAGCGUGGGUACAUGCGAUCAAAUGAGUGGAAGAUGUUGGAGACCUUAGCACUGAUUGAGCGUUUUUACCCAAGCAGCAGCUUCUGGGACACAUAUCUUGGCAGGGAGAACGUUAUUCAUGGUGCUGUAAAUAUUGUUACACUUCCAGGGGAAGAUAAACCAGUGCUUGCUCUCCAUAUUCGUAACCACCCUGCUAUUGAAUGUGGUGAUGUUGAUGGAGCUGUGCUUGGUUCUUGGGUGAACGUUAAUGAUUACGCUGAUUUAAAGGAGUUCUCUCAAAGCAACCUUUCCGAUGGAUAUUGGGCAUGUGCUGCUGUGUGGUCUGAUGCUUGGGAUCAAAGAACUGUGGACCGCAUAAUACUGGAUCAGCCUUGUCAUAUUUCUGCUCAAUCGGACCUCCCAUGGGAAUCUCAGUUUGAAUAUUUUGUUGCUCAUGAUGAUGUGGGGGAAGUCUGCAAACUCUUGGACAUGAUUCCUGACAGUGUACUUCUAGAAGGGAUACUUAGCAUUAAUGUGGACAAUUCACGAGCUGGUUACAGCAUUGUGUCUGACGUCAGUGUCCCUGAUUAUAAAAUGUAUAUAUGUGACUCAGAGGAGCUAGAGCCUGUUUGUAUGGAAGUACCACAUGUCAAAGUAUUCAGAUCCUUGUCUAAUCAUGAAUCAACAUCAUGGAUGAGAAUGCUAAUGCAGGAACAACUGGCAAAGAAACACAUCUUUAUGAAAGAGUACUGGCAAAGUACUACCGAAAUUAUACCUUUACUUGCUCGAGCUGGCAUACUUACUAAUACAGCCAAGAUAGGCCCCAAGAAAGAAGCUUCUAUGCCAUUAAUUGCUUCAGAGAUGCCAGAUGAUGAACGUCACCAGGCUUGUGAAAGAGCAUUGCAUAAACUAGUCAUCCGUUUUUGUGUGCAACAUGACUCUCCAUACCUACUCGAUCUCUAUUUGGACAACUGCAAUUUGAUUCUCGGGGAGGACUCUAUUCCUUUGCUCAAAGAAGCUGCAGGUGAUUGCAAGUGGGCACAAUGGUUACUCUUCUCCAGAGUCAAAGGUUAUGAGUAUGAGGCAUCCUUUUCUAACGCCCGUUGGAAUCUGUCACAGAAAAUGGUUAAUCAUGGCAAUCUAACUGCAAUUGAGAUAGAUGAGAUAUUAUAUACUGUUGAUGAUAUGGCUGAACGGAUUGGGGAAAUGUCUGCACUAGCUACCUUAAUGUAUGCUUCACCACCAAUUCAAAAGUCCAUAUGCACUGGUAGUGUGAACAGAAAUCGUGGAUUGUCUUCUCAGUGCACAUUAGAGAACCUAGGUCAUUGUCUCCAGCAAUUUCCAACCCUAUGGAAGACACUUCGUUCCACCUGUUUUGGACAAGAUGGGUAUGGCUGUCUAAAUUAUUCUCCAAAUAAUGUUUCUGGAAAAUCCGCAAUGUCAGAUUACUUGUGCUGGCGCUAUAGCAUUUUUUCCUCUGCUGGAGGAGACACUUCAUUGUUGCAAAUGCUCCCGUGUUGGUUUCCAAAGUCUAUUAGAAGAUUAAUCCAACUAUUUGAACAGGGCCCUUUUGGGAUGCAACUGCUAUCGAGUGCACCGUCAUCUGAAGAGUUAUUUACUCAUGGUGUCACUGAUUACAUAUACAAUACCACUGGAUAUAGUGAAACCAAUGCGUUGUCCUUAGAAGCAUCCAUUCAAAAAAGUGUUGAAGAAGAACUAUAUUCUUCCCUUGAGGAGAAAGACUUGAGGGUAGAGCAUCAUUUGCACCGUGGUCGCGCACUAGCAGCUUUCAGGCAUCUUCUUGGUAAAAGAGCUUCGCAAUUAAAAUCAGCCAAUGCGCGCCAAGUGAUCUCCACACAGUCUGAUGUUCAAGCAGAUGUACAACUGAUCCUAGCCCCUUUAAGUCAAACUGAACGAUCAGUUCUUCUAUCGGUGGCUCCACUAGCUAUCACAAACUUCGAGGACUCCACACUGGUUGCUUCCUGCACAUUCCUGUUGGAACUAUGUGGCAUGUGUGCUAACAUGCUCCGUCUAGAUAUUGCUGCUCUUCAGCGCAUCUCUUCCUACUAUAACUUGGCUCAGCAAAAUAAACAAAGUGAGCUAUCUUCACCAAGGAGCACUGGGUUACAUGUGCUCUCCCAUGGAGCUGAUAUUGCUCCUGCUCUUGCUCGAGCAUUAGCUGAAGAUUAUGUCCAGUCUGAUCAUCUUCAGAUUUUAGAGCAGAAGCAAACCUCGAGGGGUCCUAAAAGGGAACAACCAUCACAGCCUCUUAUUGCUAUACUGGAGCACCUGGAACGAGCAAGUUUGCCAUUAUUAGAUGAAGGUAGAACCUGUGGAUUUUGGCUUUUGAGUGGCAUUGGUGAUGCAUCUCUUUACCGGUCGCAGCAAAAUGAAGCCAGCCAACAUUGGAAUUUGGUUACAGAAUUCUGUCUAGCGCACCAUCUCCCAUUAAGUACAAAAUAUCUGGCUUUACUGGCCAAUGACAAUGAUUGGGUUGGUUUUCUAACAGAAGCCCAGAGAGCUGGUUUUCCAAUUGAAGUUGUUAUCGGAGUGGCUUCCAAAGAGAUAAAGGACGCAAGAUUGAGGACUCAUAUACUAACAGUUCUGAAAAACACGUUAUCAAAUAGAAGGAAAUCGUCUAGCAAUAUACCCUCGGGUAGUAGGGACCCAUCCUUUUUGUCUGUUGAUGGCGACAACCCCAUGGAACUUUUCUGCAUACUUGCUGUUUGUGAAAAGCAAAAGAACCCUGGGGAGGCACUUCUGAAUAAAGCAAAACAAAUGCAGUGGUCUUUAUUGGCGUUGAUUGCUUCAUGCUUUCCAGAUGUAACUCUUCUCUCAUGCUUAAGCGUUUGGCUUGAGAUUACAGCUGCAAGGGAGUUGUCCUUAAUCAAGGUGGAUGGUAUUUCCUCUAAAGUAGCUAAGAAUGUUGGAUCUGCUGUUGAGGUCACAAAUAAGUUGCCAAGCGUGAGUAGGAAUGUUGAAUAUCGUUACAACAGGAAGAAUCCAAAGCGAAGACGGUUCUUGGAGGCCUCUCCAGAUAGCUUCAAAUCAGGUUUUUCGCUGGACAUUCCAAGUGGGGCAAAUGGUACUGCAACUUCCAAUCCUUCCAAUAUUGAGGCUCAGCAGGAAAGAAGAAAGCCCACCUCCGAAGAGACUGAAAUUCCAGUUGAUAUUGAUGAGAGGCUUGCAUCUUUAUCAAGUAUAGUAGCAGUGCUGUGUGAACAACAGCUGUUCCUACCAUUACUUCGAUCCUUUGACUUGUUUCUACCAUCCUGCUCCCUUCUCCCCUUCAUCCGUUCUCUUCAGGCGUUUUGUCAAAUGCGCUUGUCCGAGGCCUCUGCACAUUUGACAUCAUUUUCAGCAAGGAUAAAAGAUGAAGCCUCUCAAUCAAACUCGUUCAAAGAAGCAUCAUCAAUAACAGGAUGGGUAGUUGCUACAGCUGUAAAAGCCGCAGAUGCAGUACUCUCAACCUGCCCAUCACUUUAUGAGAAGAGGUGUUUGCUACAGCUCCUUGCAGCGGUUGAUUUUGCAGAUGGUGGUUCUUCGUCAGCUUACUUCGGCCGCAGUUAUUGGAAAAUCAAUCUGGCUGAGCCGUCCUUAUGCAAAGAUGGUGAUAUCUACAAGUGGAACGAUUCCAUGGAUGAUGCUUCUCUCCUGGCAGCAUUAGAGAAGGAUGGACGAUGGGAGGACGCUCGUACUUGGGCAAGGCAACUGGAGUCGAGUGAUAUAGCUUGGGAAUCUACUUUUGAUCAUGUGACGGAAUCACAGGCAGAAGCUAUGGUUGCCGAAUGGAAGGAGUUUCUCUGGGAUAUUCCACAAGAACGUGCAGCUUUGUGGGGCCACUGUCAGUCGCUUUUCAUGAGAUAUUCUUUGCCACCUUUACAGGCUGGAUUAUUUUUCCUUAAGCAUGCUGAAGCAUUAGGGAAAGAGAUACCAGCACGAGAGCUCCAUGAAAUACUUUUGCUAUCUUUACAAUGGCUUACUGGAACUAUUACUAAAUCCUCUCCGGUAUAUCCUCUUCAUCUUCUCCGGGAAAUUGAGACUCGGGUUUGGCUCCUGGCAGUUGAGUCAGAGACUCACUCUAAGGCUGAUGGCGAAUCUUCUGUUGUUUCUCAGAGUCUAGCUAUUGGAAACAGUACCAGUAUUAUAGAACAGACUGCUGAUGUCAUCACAAAAAUAGACAGUAGUAUGAGUUUGCCAAGCAUGAAAGCUGCAGAAAAAAAUGGUACAAGGGACAAUAACUUAUCACACCAUCUACAUUUGCAACUAUUUGAAUAUAACAGUGAAGCAACAACAACAACAAAUAAUGCAAGAGCAAAGCGAAGGGGCAAAACAAAUCUACCACUUAGACGAGGUGUCACUGAUAAUGUUGAAAGUAGCACCAAUGAUUCUGAUGAUAAUUCUAAAGUUUUCUUUCGUUCUAAGAUUGGCGAACAAGCAAGAAAAUUACUAUCUGAAGAGGAAUUUGCAAAGAUGGAAGCGUCUCUGUCUGGUUGGGAGCAACAUGUCAGGCCUGCAGAUAUGGAGAAGGCUGUGCUCUCCUUAUUAGAAUUUGGGCAAAUAACUGCAGCUAAGCAACUCCAACAAAAGUUAUCUCCAUCAUAUGUUCCUGAAGAACUUGUCCUCGUUGAUGUUGCGUUAAGAGUUGCAAAUAACGGCGGUGAUGGAGAGAUCAAUUUAUUAUCCUUUGAUACAGAAGCCCUUUCAAUACUUCAAUCUCUCCAGAUUGCAAGUGGCAGCAAUAUGAUUGAUCCAUCACAGGCUAUGGAGAAAUUAGCCGUGAAAUGUGGCGAGGGGCGCGGACGGGCUCUUAUUAGGAGAAUAAUAGCGGUUGUGCAAACUGCAAAAAUACUGGGACUCCCAUUUUCUGAAGCAUUUGAGAAACAGCCAAUUGAACUUCUGCAGUUGCUUUCACUGAAAGCUCAGGAUUCUUUUGAUGAAGCUAAAUUUCUGGUGGAGACACACAUCAUGCCUGCAUCUAGCAUUGCAAGAAUUCUUGCUGAUUCCUUUCUGAAGGGACUUUUAGCUGCACAUCGUGGAGGUUAUCUGGACUCCCAAAAAGAAGAAGGCCCUGCACCACUAUUGUGGAGAUCAAGUGACUUCUUGAAGUGGGCAAAACUAUGCCCAUCAGAACCAGAAAUUGGUCACGCUUUAAUGCGUUUGGUAAUGACUGGGCAUGAAGUACCGCAUGCUUGUGAGGUUGAACUCCUUAUACUGUCACAUCACUUCUACAUGUCAUCUUCUUGUCUUGAUGGUGUGGAUGUUCUCGUCACAUUUGCAGCUAAUAGAGUGGAUUCAUAUGUUUCAGAGGGGGAUUUUUCCUGCUUAGCUCGCUUGAUAACUGGAGUGAGCAAUUUUCACUCCUUGAGCUUCAUCCUUUCCAUCCUUAUAGAAAAUGGCCAAUUGGAGUUGCUACUUCAAAAGUAUUCUUCCACUGACACAGCCACAGUGGCACCUGCAUCAGUUCGAGGGUUUAGGUUGGCUGUUAUUACAUCACUGAAACAUUUCAACCCAAAUGAUGAUGAGGCUCUGUCUCUGGUAUACAAGCACUUCGACAUGAAACAUGAGGCGGCUUCCCUCCUUGAGUCGCGUGCAGAGCAGUACAUGGAAAGCUGGUUAGAUCGGCAUGAUAAGGAACGACGGAAUGAUGAGCUCCUUAAGGCUAUGCAUAACCUUGUACAGACGGCUGAGAUUCUUUCAACAAUUGACGCUGGCCAAAGGACACAUCGUGCUUGCGCUCGUGCUUCUCUCCUAUCUCUUCAGAUCCGAAUACCUGAUCUUGUAUGGAUUGGUCUUACAGAAACCAACGCACGCCGUAUUUUUGUGGAUCAAUCUAGGUUCCAGGAGGCCCUCAUUGUUGCCGAAGCAUACAGCAUAAAUCAGCCAAUGGAAUGGGCCCCAGUCUUUUGGAACCAGAUGCUGAAACCUGACCUCAUCGAGCUAUUUGUGGCUGAAUUUGUACUGGUUCUGCCCCUGCACCCACCAAUGCUCGUGGAGCUUGCGAGAUUUUACCGGGCAGAGGUUGCAGCCAGGGGCGACCAGUCGCACUUCUCAGUCUGGCUUUCGCCUGGAGGCUUGCCUGCGGAGUGGGGAAAGCAUCUCGGCAGAUCAUUCAGGAGCCUGCUGCGCCGAACGAGGGAUAUGAGGCUGAGGCUGCAGUUGGCAACUCUGGCGACUGGGUUCAGCGAUGUCCUUGAGGGCUGCAAUGCAGUUCUGGACAAGGUCCCCGAGAACGCCGGGCCGCUAAUACUGAGGAAGGGCCAUGGGGGUGCAUACCUCCCUCUCAUGUAA
rnacentral:rRNA from 1 species